rnacentral:rRNA from 1 species
AUUGAACGCUGGCGGCAGGCCUAACACAUGCAAGUCGGACGAGCGGCGGACGGGAGAGUAAUGUAUGGGGAUCUGCCUGAUGUCGGGGGAAAACUACUGGAAACGGUAGCUAAUACCGCAUUCCAUCAGAUGCACCCACAUGGCAUUAGCUAGUAGGUGAGGUAACGGCUUAUCUAGGCGACGAUCCCUGGCUGGUCUGAGAGGAUGAUCAGACACACGGGAACUGGGACACGGCCCAGACUCCUACGGGAGGCAGCAGUGGGGAAUAUUGCACAAUGGGCGCAAGCCUAAUGCAGCCAUGCCGCGUGUAUGAAGAAGGCCUUCGGGUUGUAAAGUACUUUCAGUCGGGAGGCGUUACCGACAGAGAAAGCACCGGCUAACUCCGUGCCAGCAGCCGCGGUAAUAC